rnacentral:rRNA from 1 species
UUCCCAGUCACGAUAAGGCAGAUGAAGGACGCGAGCAACUGCGAAAUGCUCCGGUAAGCUGGCCAAAGCGUCGAACCGGAGGUCUCCGAAUUGGGAAACCUAUGUGGGGUAAUGCCCACAUAUCCACGUCUGAACACAUAGGACGUGAGAAGGGAACCCAGCGAACUGAAACAUCUAAGUAGCUGGAGGAAAAUAAAUCAACCGAGAUUCCCCUAGUAGCGGCGAGCGAAAGGGGAACAGUCUAAACCACACCUAUGUUAGUAGCUUACAGGCGCUGUAGCUGUGGGGUUGCAGGAUAUAUUGUUGCGUGGCUGUAACCACGUGGGUAAGUCAAAAAACAAUCUGUUAGUAGAAUUAUCUGGAAAGUUAAGCCAUAGAGGGUGAUAGCCCCGUAUGCGAAAACAGGUUGUCUUGCUAAGUAUAUUCCUAAGUACCGUGGGACACGAGAAAUCCUACGGGAAUCUGGGUGGACCAUCAUCCAAGACUAAAUACCAUGUGUGACCGAUAGUGAACUAGUACCGUGAGGGAAAGGUGAAAAGAACCCAGGGAUGGGAGUGAAAUAGAUAGUGAAACCAUACGCCUACAAGCGAUCGGAGGUCCUUUUUUGGACUAACGGUAUGCCUAUUGAAGAAUGUGCCGGCGACUUAAUGUAUGCAGCAAGGUUAAGCUUUUAUGCGGAGCCGUAGCGAAAGCGAGUCUGAAUAGGGCGUUUAGUUGCAUGUAUUAGACCCGAAACCCAGUGAUCUAACCAUGAGCAGGAUGAAGCGACGGUAACACGUCGUGGAGGUCCGAACUAGUUGGUGUUGAAAAACCAUUGGAUGACUUGUGGUUAGUAGGUGAAAUGCCAAUCGAACUGGGAGAUAGCUGGCUCUCCUCGAAAUGACUUUAGGGUCAGCCUUGAGGUUAAGCGGUCCGGAGGUAGAGCACUGUUUAGGCUAGGGGCAUCACCAAUGUUACCAAACCUAUGCAAACUCCGAAUGCCGGACUUGUAUACUCAGGAGUGAGUCUUAGAGGGCUAAGCUUCUAAGACAAAAGGGAAACAGCCCAGACCGUCAGCUAAGGUCCCUAAAUCUAUGCUAAGUGGGAAAGGAAGUUGGAUCGCUCAAACAACCAGGAGGUUGGCUUAGAAGCAGCCAUCCUUUAAAGAAAGCGUAAUAGCUCACUGGUCGAGUGAUCCUGCGCCGAAAAUGUAACGGGGCUAAAGCAUAGUACCGAAGCUACGGGAUUGCGUAAGCAAUCGGUAGAGGAGCGUUCUGUUGUAGGAUGAAGUCAGACCGUUAGGUCUGGUGGACGAAGCAGAAGUGAGAAUGUCGGCAUGAGUAACGAAAAAGAAAGUGAGAAUCUUUCUCGCCGUAAACCUAAGGUUUCCUGGGGAAGGGUCGUCCGCCCAGGGUUAGUCGGAACCUAAGGUGAGGCCGAAAGGCGUAGUCGAUGGACAACAGGUUAAUAUUCCUGUACCACCUAUGAAUCGUUAUUAGCGAUGGGGUGACGCAGUAGGAUAGGUCAGCCACUUAUUGGAUUGUGGUUUAAGCAGGUAGGGAGAGCGAAUAGGCAAAUCCGUUUGCUCAUUAUCCUGAGAUGUGAUGACGAUGCCCGUAAGGGUAAGUGAUUGAGUCCACACUGACAAGAAAAACCUCUAGUGAGAGUCAUGGGUGUCCGUACUAAAACCGACACAGGUAGGUGGGUAGAGAAUACCAAGGCGCGCGAGAUAACUCUCGUUAAGGAACUCUGCAAAUUAGCCUCGUAACUUCGGAAGAAGAGGUGCCCCAUUAGCGUGAAGUCUUUACGACGUAAGCGUGAAGGGGUUGCAAUGAAAGGGCUCAAGCGACUGUUUACCAAAAACACAGGUCUCUGCUAAACCGUAAGGUGAUGUAUAGGGGCUGACGCCUGCCCAGUGCUGGAAGGUUAAUAGGAUAUGUUAGCGCAAGCGAAGCAUUGAAUUGAAGCCCCAGUGAACGGCGGCCGUAACUAUAACGGUCCUAAGGUAGCGAAAUUCCUUGUCGGGUAAGUUCCGACCCGCACGAAUGGCGUAACGAAUUGAGCACUGUCUCAACGAGAGACUCGGUGAAAUUGGAGUGUCCGUGAAGAUACGGACUACCUACAGCAAGACAGAAAGACCCCGUGGAGCUUUACUAUAACUUGGCUUUGUGUUUUGGAACAAUUUGCUCAGGAUGAACGCUAGCUGGAGGCCUAUCGUGACUGGGAAAC